CCACAUGCAUUUCAUGCCAAACUAGUGUCAGAGGAGCGAACAGUUUAUGGCUGUGGAGAGUGAUCCUUACAAAUGUGCAGACGAUUUCAACAGGUGCAAAAGAUGCGAGGAAUAAAGGAUAACUCAGAUUUGUCAGUGGCAGCGAACAGUUUCGUAAUAAAUGUCCUCCCAUCAA